AAUCUUCGGCAACGGGAAUCGACCUCCGGUGGCGUGGAUCGAUCUCAGGCAACAGGAAUCAGGCACAAAACGACCCUCGGUCCCUUCGAUUUCGUUGCCAGGAUGGAGCGCCCCCUUCUUUCAAUCGGUAGCCUCUUGCAGCGUGGGCGAGGACGCAAAGGUGAAGCCCACACGCGGCAACUGAACUUCCUCACCGUCACCUGAAGCUGAUGGAUUUCUUCAUAGGUUUGCCCUUCAUCCCCUCCGAUUCCCACUCUUUUGAUAGUAGAUCUUCGCAUGGAGGUGUGGACUGUCCGUACAGGCAGUAGAUCUUUUUAAUUCUCGUGAGUAGAAGGGAUAUUAAUAUCUUCCUGAUUCAUCAUCAUGGACAUUUGGUGUAUUACUUUGUACAAGCUACAAAGGAAUGCCGUUUUAAAUAUAUGUUUGUUUCUGAAUUCUUCAUUGCCUUUUUGAAUUGAAUUGACAUAUCUUCUUUCUAAAAUUUUAGACAGUUACAGACCACAACUGCUGUAGCAUGCAAUUCAAGUUAAAAAAAAAAGCUAGGUGUACUAAAAUAAUCUAUAUCUACACAUAGAGAGUAUGCCACACUUUUAUUGUGGUUAAAUAUGGAAAACCAAUGUAGAGUUUUCUCAGUGAUAUUGGAGAAGUCUCUGAGUUGCAGAAAAUUAUGGUCGUUGUGAUGAAUGUACCAUGAGGGUCAUUUAGCAAGUCUCCUGAUAAACUUGGCGCUGAUUGGUAGACAUUUGAUCUUGGUGACAAAUGAAUUCAUCUUAAUGAGUUAGUUAUCAUUCUUGAUAGAUUUUGAUAGCUUAACAUUUAUAUCCUUGAACUCUGAGUAAAAAUUGGUAUCCAUUUGGUGUUAGCUGUAUCCAUUUGGUGUUAACUAACUAUCCAUUUGAUGCGUCGCUAGAGCUCGGGGACCGGCACACUGAUGGCCACAUCUUCGUAUUUGAGCACAUCUUCUCUCCUACCGGCCAAGGUGACCAUUUUUCCCUUCUUUCUUGAAUCGAAGCUACAUGUUUUUGUGCUUGUGCUUGACAAUUGGAUAUAAGUAGAUCUUAGAGUGCUUGGGUGACACAAUUGGAUGAGAGUAGAUCACAUAAUUUUCCUUCUAAACGCAUCAGUUCUCCUUCAAUCUCCAAUGCUUGUCAUGGUUGUACUGAACUGUAUUGAUGAGAGUAGAUCACACAAUCUGCAGCUUGCAUACAUGGGUAGUGGUGAUAGCAGUCUUGUUUAUUUACAUUCAGUUUUGGUAACCAUAUUUAAUUUGUGCCAAAGCACUGGUUGUGAGACGGCCCAGGUCGGCCUGAGGACCCUUACAUGGCCCAAGCACAGUUCCCAGGGGUUACAUCUCCCAGUGUCAGGGCGGGGCCAGGGUUCGGGAAUUUUCUCGGUCGGAGAAGCCGAGGCUUCUUCUUAAGUUAAUACCGGUGGGGCGGUCUUUCCCCACCCGGCCGAGUUUUUUUAUUUACAUUUAGUUUUGGUAACCAUAUUUAAUUUGUAGGACAAAUGGUUGUUCGCGAAUUGUUAUCUUUGUAAUCUGAACUUUCUGAAGGUGGUCACUUAUAAUCUUUAUUGUUUUUUGGAUUGCAUGUUUUGAUGACUACCUUUUAUAUCUGCCAAAAAUCUGUCCUGGCGCUUGUGAUUUAUAUGGACAAACCAGGGACAAUGAUGGGAAGGAAAUGUGCUACCGGCGUUGGCAUACUCUUCUUGUUGAGGUAGGAGUAAGGAGGAAGGCUGAACCUUCUGAAACGGCCAGCGAAAUUGAGGUAUUUGAUUAUUUGUAAAUUUUAAGGAAGGUGGCUCUCACAGAGGGCACCCCGACCGUAUUGUAUACAUGAUCCCCAGGUUUCAGGUAGGAUGAUGAUAGCAUUUAGAUUGUUGUAGCUGGAUCUGGAGCUGACAACAAUUGCUAUAAAAACCCAAUCCAUUUUAUACCAAUAAAAUAUUCUGAACUUGCAAAUUUGGGAUACAGUUUCUAUAGUUGUCCAUGUAUAGAAUGGAGUGAUCUUGACAAUGGCA